rnacentral:rRNA from 1 species
GACGAACGCUGGCGGCGUGCUUAACACAUGCAAGUCGAACGAUGAAAGCUGGAGCUUGCUCCGGCUGGAUUAGUGGCGAACGGGUGAGUAACACGUGAGCAAUCUGCCCUUGACUCUGGGAUAACUCUGAGAAAUCGGUGCUAAUACCGGAUAUGACCUUGGCGGCAUCGCUGGGGGUGGAAAGUUUUUCGGUCAAGGAUGAGCUCGCGGCCUAUCAGCUUGUUGGUGAGGUAAUGGCUCACCAAGGCGACGACGGGUAGCCGGCCUGAGAGGGUGACCGGCCACACUGGGACUGAGACACGGCCCAGACUCCUACGGGAGGCAGCAGUGGGGAAUAUUGCACAAUGGGCGCAAGCCUGAUGCAGCAACGCCGCGUGGGGGAUGACGGCCUUCGGGUUGUAAACCUCUUUUAGCAGGGAAGAAGCGAAAGUGACGGUACCUGCAGAAAAAGCACCGGCUAACUACGUGCCAGCAGCCGCGGUAA